rnacentral:rRNA from 1 species
UACGGGGGGGGCAAGCGUUGUUCGGAAUUACUGGGCGUAAAGGGCUCGUAGGCGGCCAACUAAGUCGGAUGUGAAAUCCCCAGGCUUAACCUGGGAACUGCAUCCGAUACUGGAUGGCUUGAAUUCGGGAGAGGGAUGCAGAAUUCCAGGUGUAGCGGUGAAAUGCGUAGAUAUCUGGAGGAAUACCGGUGGCGAAGGCGGCAUCCUGGACCGAGAUUGACGCUGAUGAACGAAAGCUAGGGGAGCAAACGGG